rnacentral:rRNA from 1 species
CACGUAGGGCGCAAGCGUUGUCCGGAAUUAUUGGGCGUAAAGAGCUCGUAGGCGGUCUGUUACGUCUGCUGUGAAAACCCGGGGCUUAACCCUGGGCUUGCAGUGGAUACGGGCAGACUAGAGGCAGGUAGGGGAGAAUGGAAUUCCCGGUGUAGCGGUGAAAUGCGCAGAUAUCGGGAGGAACACCGGUGGCGAAGGCGGUUCUCUGGGCCUGACCUGACGCUGAGGAGCGAAAGCAUGGGUAGCGAACAGG